rnacentral:tRNA from 1 species
GUGGGUAUAGCUCAGUGGUAGAGUGCAUGCUUAGCAUGCAUGAGGUCCUAGGUUCAAUCCCUAGUACCUCCA